rnacentral:rRNA from 1 species
AUUGAACGCUGGCGGCAUGCUUUACACAUGCAAGUCGAACGGUAACAGGGACUUCGGUCUGCUGACGAGUGGCGAACGGGUGAGUAACAUAUCGGAACGUGCCCAGUAAUGGGGGAUAGCUCGGCGAAAGCCGGAUUAAUACCGCAUACGCCCUGAGGGGGAAAGUGGGGGAUCUUCGGACCUCACGUUAUUGGAGCGGCCGAUAUCAGAUUAGCUAGUUGGUGGGGUAAAGGCCUACCAAGGCGACGAUCUGUAGCUGGUCUGAGAGGAUGAUCAGCCACACUGGGACUGAGACACGGCCCAGACUCCUACGGGAGGCAGCAGUGGGGAAUUUUGGACAAUGGGCGAAAGCCUGAUCCAGCCAUGCCGCGUGAGUGAAGAAGGCCUCGGGUUGGUAAGUACGUACUUUCUAGGUGGUAAAGGAAA